UUACCAUGCAGUCGACGAACUCUGUCCGAGUUAGUGGCAUACGGGUGAGUAACGCGUGGGAACCUACCUUUAAGUACGGAACAACAGUUGGAAACGACUGCUAAUACCGUAUGUGCCCUAUGGGGGAAAGAUUUAUCGCCUAAGGAUGGGCCCGCGUUGGAUUAGCUAGUUGGUGGGGUAAAGGCCUACCAAGGCGACGAUCCAUAGCUGGUCUGAGAGGAUGAUCACCCACACUGGGACUGAGACACUGCCCAGACUCCUACGGGAUGCAGCAGUGGGGAAUAUUGGACAAUGGGCGCAAGCCUGAUCCAGCCAUGCCGCGUGAGUGAUGAAAGCCCUAGGGUUGUAAAGCUCUUUCAGCGAGGACGAUAAUGACGUUACUCUCACAAGAAGCCACGGCUAACUUCGUGCCAGCGGCCGCGAUAAUACGAACGGGGCUAGCGUUGUUCGGAAUCACUGGGCGUAAAGCGCACGUAUGCGGACUUUUAAGUCACGGGUGAAAUCCCGGGGCUCAACCCCGGAACUGCCUUUGAUACUGGAAGUCUUGAGUCCGAGAGAGGUGAGUGGAACUCCGAGUGUAGAGGUGAAAUUCAUACAUAUUCUGAAGAACACCAGUGGCAAAGGCGGCUCACUGGCUCGAUACUGACGCUGAGGUGCGAAACCGUGGGGAGCAAACAGGAUUAGAUACCCUGGUAGUCCACACCGUACACGAUGGAAGCUAGCCGUCAGUAGCAUGCUACUGGUGGCACACUAACGCAUUACCUUCCCGCCAGGGAGUACGGUCCAAGAUUAAACUCAACGCAUUGACGGAGCCCGCACAGCGGUGCACCUGUGGUUAAUUCGAACCACGCGCAGACCUUCCAGCCUUGACUUUGGGGCACUUCAGACAUGAAGGUUCCUUCUGGACGCAAGACAGGUGCUGCUGGUUUCCUCAGCCCUGUCCGAGAUGUGGGUUAAGUCCGCACCAGCGCACCCUCGCCUUAUUGCCCCAUUCGUUGGGACCCUAGGGGAUGCCGCGAAAAUCAAAAGGAAGCGGGAAGACUCCGCCUCAUGCCCUAAGGUUGGGCUAACCCAGUUAAAUGGCGUUAACGU
rnacentral:rRNA from 1 species